AUUGAACGCUGGCGGCAUGCCUUACACAUGCAAGUCGAACGCGAAAGUGGGGGCAACCCUGCGAGUAGAGUGGCGAACGGGUGAGUAACACAUCGGAACGUACCCAGGAGUGGGGGACAACCUCGAGAAAUCGAGGCUAAUACCGCAUACGUCCUGAGGGAGAAAGCGGGGGAUUCGCAAGGACCUCGCGCUCAUGGAGCGGCCGAUGUCGGAUUAGCUAGUUGGCGGGGUAAGAGCCCACCAAGGCUACGAUCCGUAGCUGGUUUGAGA
rnacentral:rRNA from 1 species